GAUGGCUGCUGCUCAUCACCUCCAGUUAAAUAAUCUCCUUGGGGCUCCGAGGCUAGCAGAGCUAAGCGGGUCCCUGGAAGGGUCUUCAGCGUGCUGCGGUGGCUAUGCCGCCUCCCUCAACGCUGAACUUGGGAACAACCCCCUCUGCCAAACAGCUGGGUCGUUGCGUUCAUGUUACGAGAUGUACACCAGGCUUCAGCAUACGAGCCCACAGUCACCAUCAUAGAAAACUGGGGAUGGAGCUUUGGAUGGAUACGAGCAGUACUCCCCAACCCUAAUAAAGAACCGAUGGAUUGGA